AUUGAACGCUGGCGGCAGGACUAACACAUGCAAGUCGAGCGAGCGGCGGACGGGUGAGUAAUGUCUGGGAAAAUGCCUGAUGGAGGGGGGUCAAUACUGGAAACGGUAGCUAAUACCGCAUACCAUCAGAUGUGUCCAGCUGGGAUUAGCUAGUAGGUGGGGUAAUGGCUGACAUAGGCGACGGUCCCUAGCUGGGAUGAGAGGAGGACCAGCAACACUGGAACUGAGACACGGUCCAGACGCCUACGGGAGGCAGCAGUGGGGAAUAUUGCACAAUGGGCGCAAGCCGGAUGCAGCCAUGCCGCGUGUGUGAAGAAGGCCUUCGGGUUGUAAAGCACUUUCAGCGGGGAGGCGUUACCCGCAGAAGAAGCGCCGGCUAACUCCGUGCCAGCAGCCGCGGUAAUAC
rnacentral:rRNA from 1 species